ACAAUAUCCAGAAGAAGAGCUUACUGUCUAAAGUACAGGUGGCAAACACAAGGCCUGUGUUCUGAAUCCAGCCCUCCUUGUUUUGUCCGGCCCGGCACCUUGCUUCUACCCAGCGGCAGCGCCGGGCUCCUUGCCCCUAGUUAAGGAGCAGUUACAUUCACACAGUCCUAAAAUCACAUUCG